GUAAAUCUCACUUAAUUUAUUGUAUAUAAUUUUACUUUUCAUUUGUUACAUGGAACAAAAAAUCAAUAAAUGUUUUUAUCUUGUUAGAGACCCAUGAUGGAGUCCAGGAUAUGGCUUGUGACACAUUUAUUAAAAUAGCUCAAAAAUGCCGUAGGCAUUUUGUUCAGGUUCAAGUUGGAGAAGUAAUGCCGUUCAUUGAUGAGAUUUUAAACAACAUAAAUACUAUAAUUUGUGAUCUUCAGCCUCAGCAGGUAUAAAAGUUACUAUGCUUAUUAUUAAAUGCACAUGAGUUUUUUCUUGCAUAUGUUUGUGUGUGUACACCUCCUGUGUUUGAAGAAACAGGAAAGAGGGUAUCAAGAACCAUGGAGCUAGAGUUACUUAGACGUUGGCCACUGUCUGGGUGAUUAGGCUUGAAUCUUGAGUUCCUGGAAGUGUAGUCAGUCUGCAUAACUAUUGAGUCCCCUCAGUGGUUCUUGUUUAUAGACGCACUAUGCUUUGGAGGAUGGCGAGCAGCUCAGUGGUUCAGAGUGGAGGGGCCCUGCUCUUGUAUAGGUUCCCAGCACCCACACUUAAUGCUAAUUACUCUUGUAACUCCAUGUUCAGUCUUCUCCAUUAUCAUCUUAAGGUCUCUUCAGGCUUCUACACUAUGUGUUCAUAGCCCCCCAUUCCCACAUACAUAUACAGUCAAAACUAAAAGAAAAUUAAAGAAACAGGUUAAUAAUUGGAAAAAUAAGUAUUAAUAUACUCUAAGUGUAUUUGUAAUUUGGUUACAUAUAUUUUAUAUUUGGGUGCAUGAGAGUAUGAAAAUAACAAUGUUUGCAUUUAAAAACAGGUUCAUACAUUUUAUGAAGCUGUGGGGUACAUGAUUGGUGCACAGACAGACCAGACAGUUCAAGAGCAUUUGAUAGAAAAAUACAUGCUACUCCCUAAUCAAGUGUGGGACAGUAUAAUUCAGCAGGCUACCAAAGUAAGUUUUUAUUUUUUAUGUAGGUUUUGGGUGUUUUUGUGUUUUUUCUCUGUAUUAUUUUAUUUUCAUUUUGAGUUCUAUUGAGGUUUAAGUUUCAGUCUUAGCACUUUUGAAAUGUAUACUUCAAACAGGAAUCCCUUUUCAGUUGUAAUGUUCGUGUUACCUUGAACACGACUGCUACCUACCUCUUGAGUGUUUAGCCUGUGACACAUUAUGCUAAGCCUAUCUUUACGGUCGCUCCUGGGGAUCUGAGCUUCAGACCUCAGGUUUAUGUGAAGGCCUUAACCCACUCAGCUAUAUUCCUUACUGUAUAAGUGCUUUCAUGUGAGUUUGAACAAUUGAAACAUUAUAGAAGUCAGAUGUGGUAGUGCAUAAGCAUAAUCCUAACACUUAGAAAUAGAGGCCAGGAGUAAAAGUUAAAAGCCAUCCUUGGCAACAUAACAAGUUGGAAAUCCGCUGAGACCCAGAGCACUCUGAUCAACAUAAGAGAAAGACAGAAAAGGUGACAGGAUUUUGUUUUGUGUGGGAUCAUGAUAGUUGAGACAGUUUACUGUGGGCUCCUAGGGGACCUGGAGAGAUGUGCUGCCAAGACACACACAUUCUGUUUGAUCUUACUUAGGUGAGACUGUUUUCACUUCACUCUUUAGGUUUUUAAGUACUUGAGCUUUAGGUAUGAUUAAGCUUGGCACCGCCUGUUUGUAAAAUAUCUUAGGACUGAGCUAUAACCCAGGCCUUGUGUUGUCUUUUGAGAUUUCAAAUAAGAUGAAGUUUUCAAUAAAUGAGGUUGUGCUUUAUUGUGAUAAUUUCAGAAUGUGGAUAUCCUGAAAGAUCCUGAAACAGUCAAGCAGCUGGGUAGCAUAUUAAAAACAAAUGUGAGAGCCUGCAAAGCUGUUGGUCAUCCCUUUGUAAUUCAGCUUGGCAGAAUUUAUUUAGACAUGCUUAAUGUAUAUAAGUGCCUCAGUGAAAAUAUUUCUGCAGCUAUUCAAGCUAAUGGUAAGUGAUUCUUGCUUCUUGGGGAGGUAGAAUGCUGGAUAAAGGGUUUCUGCUUUCACUGUCUUACCCUUUCUGCUCUUCUCACAUUUAAGUAAACCUGCUGUCUGGGGUCAAAAGGUCCAAGACCCUUUCUCAACAAUUGCUUGGUUGAUUAGUCUUGCCUAGUUAACUAAGAUUAGUCUUGCCUACAAGUAUAGUUUUAUUAACAGAGUAACUAUUUUGCAAAAUGCCCAAAGCUGUGUGUUGGAUCUUGGCUAUUUGGUGGUUUGCACUUUGGAAUUCUCUCUUCCAUUCAACCUUUCCCCCAAUAAAUUCUUUUGAAGGUACAGCUUUUUAAAUGGUCAGUGGAGUUAUAUUAUUUGCAGUAGACCUAACUUUGCAUACUAUCAGUUAGCUUAUAUUUGAUUGUUCUUCAGGUGAGAUGGUUACAAAGCAACCAUUGAUUAGAAGUAUGCGGACAGUAAAAAGGGAAACUUUAAAGUUAAUAUCUGGUUGGGUGAGCCGUUCCAAUGAUCCUCAGAUGGUAAGAUUCUUGUUUUUGUUUUUCUUUUACUUCAUAUUCUCUAAUAUAUCCUGUCUACAUGUAUUUGCUUUUAAAAGAUAGUUAAAUGUCUGUGUUUAGGGUUAUUUAGUGCUAGUAUUAGUUGGAGUCCUUUUAAAGUAAAAAAGAUAGUGAUUUAGCUUUUGAAGAAAUUUGUUUGCUACAGAUGAUGAUAAUAAAUAAGAAUGGGUUAUUUGGGGCUAUAGAUAUGUCCAAAGGUAGGUUGAAGGGUUGUUAAGAUAAAAACAAGAUGUCAAUAGAAUUCAUAUUUUAUAUCUAGGUCACUUAGGAAAUCCAGGCCAUAUAGUUCAUAAGCUGAAGCUACUACAGUGGCUGUGAGGUAGGAGGAAAAAAGAUUACAAAUUAAGGAUUUGAAUCAUCUUAACAGCCCUCAUCAGUAAUCUUGAGCUUUGAUGAUGAUCAAAGUAAAACAAAAAAAGUCACCACUUCAGAUUUAAAACUACAUAAAGAGCACUAUAGCAGAUUGCUAUGCCUGAUCCUCAUAUCAGCAACAAAAAUAGGAUCCUGCCCUAUACUCACUAUUACUGUGUGAUAUAGCUAUAAUGUUUGUGAGUAAAAUGGAAUCUGGAGCAGUCAGUAGCCAGCUCAGUGGAUGACGAAGUUUUCUGCCAAAUCUCAAUGGAUUCCAACACUGGGACCCAUAUGGUGGAAGGAGAUCAACUCCCAUAGAUGAACCUCUCUGACCUACACGUGUGUGUGUAUGUAAGCCUGAUACCUAGGACUAAAGUAUUUAUUCAUUGUCUUAAAACAGCAUCUGCUUAAUGGUGUAGGCAGAGCAGGAGAAUCACCUUUAUAGGCCAACCUGAGUUACACAGUUAGUGGUGAUGGAACACACUUUUAUUUGGGAGGCAGGGUCAGGUAGAUCUAGGAUAGCCUGGGCUACACAAAAGAGAGUCUGUGAGGUUUUUUGCUGUUUGUCUUUUGGAUUUUGUUGUUGUUUUAAAAUCCAUUGAAAGCUGGGCAUGGUGGCGCACACCUUUAAUCCCAGCACUUGGAUUUCUGAGUUCAAAGCCAGCCUGGUCUACAAAGUGAGUUCCAGGCCAGCCUGGGCUAUACAGAGAAACCCUGUCUUGAAAAAAAAAACAAAACAAAGCAAAACAAAACAAAAAAACCCAUUGAAGAUUUUAUGCUGAGAAUGGCAAAGUGAAACAUCAGUGCAGGACAAUGUAGUAUGAGGCAGGUGAAUGGUAGUGACUGGUUGCAGUUCUGGAGUGUGUGUUACUGCACUAAUAGUAUGUAUAGGCGACCACAGGAGAGCUACUGCUGUCGCUCACAGUUUGAGCACCUUUAAAAUGCAGGAAGUUCUUGAGCCUGCUUGUGCUUAGGGAAGUUACCAUAAACACUUUUUUUUUUAAAAGAUUUAUUUAUUGUUAUAUGUAAGUACACUGUAGCUGUCUUCAGACACACCAGAGGAGGGCAUCAGGUCCCAUUACAGAUGGUUGUGAGCCACCAUGUGGUUGCUGGGAUUUUAACUCAGGCCCUCUGGAAGAGCAGUCAGUGCUCUUAACCGCUGAGCCAUCUCACCAGCCCGAGCUAUUACUUUUUAUCUUCAGCUCGAACUCUGAUAAAAUUCUUCUUCUUCUUUUUUUUUUUUUUAACGUAUUCAUGUAUGUUUAGAUUGUGUAGGUACAGAGAACCACUCACUGUAUCCAGCUUUCUUCCUGAAUCAGCUUCUUCACAGCAGUGGCCACAGAAUACUGAAGUCUUCUUGGAUUUAUUUAUCCCACUGUUAAUUGAAGUCUGGUCUUAUAGUAUUUUGGAUAUAGCCAAUUCAGGACUUAUUUCUUUAUUUAGAUAUUUUCUUUAUAUACAUUUCAAAUGCUAUCCCAAAAGUCCCCCAGACCCUCUCCCCCACCCACUCCCCUAUCCACCCACUCCCACUUCUUGGCCCUGGCGUUCCCCUGUACUGAGGCAGAUAAAGUUUACAAUACCAAGGGACCUCUUUUCCCAAUGAUGGCCAACUCAGAAGAUGGGAAGAUCUCAAUUUAGGACUCUUAACUACUGAAUAUGUAUGAAGGUGGUAUUUUGGUACACACCUGUCAUCAUAGCCCUGGGAAUUGUAGCAGGAUGAAUGCCAUGAGUUUGAGUCCAACCUUGUUAUGUAAUGAGACUCACAGAUACAUUUUAAACUAACUAGUAUCUAUGGCCAUUGUUAAUGUUGACCUUACCGGUUCCUGUUGCUAAAAUAUUUUAGCAUCAUAUCUCAUCAGAUAAUCUGAAUUAUCUUAGAGACUGGAGUGACCUAUAUUACUUUACCCCCCAAACAGGUAGCUGAAAACUUUGUUCCUCCUUUGUUGGAUGCAGUUCUUAUUGAUUACCAGAGAAAUGUACCAGCUGCUAGAGAACCAGAAGUGCUUAGUACUAUGGCCAUUAUUGUCAACAAAUUAGGUGGACAUAUAACAGCUGAAAUACCUCAAAUAUUCGAUGCAGUUUUUGAGUGCACAUUGAAUAUGAUAAAUAAGGUAGGUGAUCUGUGUUUUUAUUAUAUAAUGGAAGAUUCUGUAGUAUGUUCUUCACUCCUAAAUAUAUAAAUGACAAUUAUUUUUUAGAGUUUCGAAGUCCUAGAAUUAAGUAUUAUAUUUAUAGUAAUUUAUAGUAAUUGUCAUCUUAACAGAAUCUUGACACCACCACCACCCC
rnacentral:lncRNA from 1 species